rnacentral:rRNA from 1 species
UACGUAGGGGGCAAGCGUUGUCCGGAAUCAUUGGGCGUAAAGAGCGUGUAGGCGGCCCGAUAAGUCCGCUGUGAAAGUCGGGGGCUCAACCCUCGGAUGCCGGUGGAUACUGUCGGGCUUGAGUACGGAAGAGGCGAGUGGAAUUCCUGGGUGUAGCGGUGAAAUGCGCAGAUAUCAGGAGGAACACCAAUUGCGAAGGCAGCUCGCUGGGGACGUUACUGACGCUGAGACGCGAAAGCGUGGGGAGCAAACAGG